AUGGAGGGUCCCACUCCAGUAUCUGCUUUGAUUCAUGCAGCUACUAUGGUCACUGCUCGCGUUUUCAUGAUAGCAAGGAGCUAUGACGUCAUUCCUUGCGGCAACCAUUAG
rnacentral:rRNA from 1 species